CAGCCGCCGCGGGAAUACGUAGGUGGCAAGCGUUGUCCGGAAUUAUUGGGCGUAAAGCGCGCGCAGGCGGCCUAUCCAGUCUGUCUUAAAAGUUCGGGGCUCAACCCCGUGAUGGGACGGAAACUAGUAGGCUAGAGUAUCGGAGAGGAAAGCGGAAUUCCUAGUGUAGCGGUGAAAUGCGUAGAUAUUAGGAAGAACACCAGUGGCGAAGGCGGCUUUCUGGACGAAAACUGACGCUGAGGCGCGAAAGCCAGGGGAGCGAACGGGAUUAGAUACCCCCGUAGUCCCUGUCUCUUAUACA
rnacentral:rRNA from 1 species